AUUGAACGCUGGCGGCGUGCUUAACACAUGCAAGUCGAUCGGUAACGCGGGGGCAACCCUGGCGACGAGAGGCGGACGGGUGAGGAACGCUUGGGAAUCUGCCCUUCAGCGGGGGACAACACGGGGAAACUCGUGCUAAUACCGCAUACGCUCCACGGAGGAAAGCCGGGGACCGCAAGGCCUGGCACUGAAGGAUGAGCCCAAGUCGGAUUAGCUAGUUGGCGGGGUAACGGCCCACCAAGGCGACGAUCCGUAGCUGGUCUGAGAGGACGAUCAGCCACACUGGGACUGAGACACGGCCCAGACUCCUACGGGAGGCAGCAGUGGGGAAUAUUGGACAAUGGGCGAAAGCCUGAUCCAGCGACGCCGCGUGGGUGAAGAAGGCCUGCGGGUUGUAAAGCCCUUUCGGUAGGGACGAAAGCUCUCGACCUAACACGUCGGGAGGUUGACUUAACCUACAGAAGAAGCACCGGCUAACUCUGUGCCAGCCGCCGCCGUAAGAC
rnacentral:rRNA from 1 species